GAAGGCCUCUGGGCUGUAAACCUCUUUUAUCAAGGAAGAAGAUCUGACGGUACUUGAUGAAUAAGCCACGGCUAAUUCCGUGCCAGCAGCCGCGGUAAUACGGGAGUGGCAAGCGUUAUCCGGAAUUAUUGGGCGUAAAGCGUCCGCAGGCGGCCCUUCAAGUCUGCUGUUAAAAAGUGGAGCUUAACUCCAUCAUGGCAGUGGAAACUGUUGGGCUUGAGUGUGGUAGGGGCAGAGGGAAUUCCCGGUGUAGCGGUGAAAUGCGUAGAUAUCGGGAAGAACACCAGUGGCGAAUGCGCUCUGCUGGGCCAUCACUGACGCUCAGGGACGAAAGCUAGGGUAG
rnacentral:rRNA from 1 species